rnacentral:piRNA from 1 species
UGACAACUGUUUGAUGCCUUGGGGGC